rnacentral:rRNA from 1 species
GACGAACGCUGGCGGCGUGCUUAACACAUGCAAGUCGGACGGAAAGGCCCUUCGCGGUACUCGAGUGGCGAACGGGUGAGUAACACGUGGGUGAUCUGCCCUGCACUUUGGGAUAAGCCUGGGAAACUGGGUCUAAUACCGAAUAGGACCACGCGCUUCAUGGUGUGUGGUGGAAAGCUUUUGCGGUGUGGGAUGGGCCCGCGGCCUAUCAGCUUGUUGGUGGGGUAAUGGCCUACCAAGGCGACGACGGGUAGCCGGCCUGAGAGGGUGACCGGCCACAGUGGGACUGAGAUACGGGCCAGACUCAUACGGGAGGCAGCAGUGGGGAAUAUUGCACAAUGGGCGCAAGCCUGAUGCAGCGACGCCGCGUGAGGGAUGACGGCCUUCGGGUUGUAACCCUCUUUCAAUAGGGACGAAGCGCAAGUGACGGUACCUAUAGAAGAAGCACCGGCCAACUACGUG